GAAUGGCUCUUACUAUGAGAGAGAGAACUGCAUCCUUAAUAAGACUUCCGGUUCCUGUCAGCAAGCAGACGUACCCAUAUCUGAUGGAUGCCAGAAGGUUUUUCAAAGAAUUUGAAAGAAGAUACAAUCAGGAUCCUCUCGAGGGGACAGGCACUGCUCUGCAUCAAAUCCGUGAACUUGUGAUCCAGCGUAAAAUAAAUUGUACAGACGACCUCAGAGAGAGUCUAAUUGCUGAUCAAGACAUGGAAGGCAUUGGCGAGACACGUAGAAAACACAUCCUAGAUGUUCACGCCCUUAAGUUCCUCAGCACCUGUGUAAAGGAAAGUGAGGCCAUCGA